rnacentral:lncRNA from 1 species
ACUCACUCUUUGACCCCCUAUACUUCAUACUCCAGAGUGACUCCAAACAAAGACUAUGGAACUUCCCACAUACACCCCUUUUGGCUGAGCUGUAUGGCCAUAAGCGUAGAGACUUGCAGCUGUAUGUGGCCGUGAAUGAGAGACCCAGAGAUGGAAGCUUCACAGCAUUUGUGGCAGUAGCGGCAGAAAUGCAUCACACAUUUGAGUCCCUAGAUGGCCUUGUGGAGAAACGUCUACCUGCCACCCUGGACUAUUAGACAUGAAAAAGAUGCAGGCAAGAUAUGGAGUGUCUUCAUGGGGGAGAUUCAGAAGCCAUGGAUGGUGUAGAAAGAAAUAUUCUUCAAACAAAACCUUAUGAGGAACAGAACCAUAGCUCCUGAAACUGUGUGAAAGCAAGAGAAAGAGAGUCUUUUGUCAAUAGUCUGUCCACACAUAUCCAGACCCAACCCAAAGUUACAACCUGACCUCCACGAUCACUUUCCCUCACAGGGACCGCACUAUGAGGAACACGCCAAAGUUGAGAAAGGGUAAGAUUCUUGCCCAACCUCAAGACCAGUGCUAUUCUCUUCACGCCAAGGCAGGAAGAUCACUGAAGCCCAGAAGUUCGAGGCUAAAAUGAGCUAUGAUUGUGCCAACGCACUUCAUCCUAGGCAACAUAGCAAAACCCUAUCUCUAAAAUAUAAACAAGUAAAAUAAAUUUAAAAAUAAUUGUGGCGUGUGGCAAUUAUUGAUAAUGCCUCAUAGCCCCAAAUUCAUCCCUGGUUGCCUUCCCUGUGAAAAUAAAUCUAGGCCCUUCACCUUUAUUUUUUUCUUUUUUGGCUAUCAUGAUGCUAAACUUAUCAGUAGAGGGCAAUACAAAGACAUUUCAAGAAGGCAGAGGCUUCCCUCCUGGUAGUGCACUUUUUCCCCACUGUCUAUUCCACGUGGUUUUCACCAUUGUCAAGGGCUUAGAGGGUACAGCUUUCACAGUGUGUUUUCUACAGUUCUUGACUCAGGAAACAAUGGCAUAGUGGAAGCCCCAGAAAAAUCUGACCUGUGCGCUAGCCCUGUUAACUGCUGCCCACAACCCUGAGUGAUAUGAAUGUAAGGGGUACUGUGGAGCUGAUAAUCAGCAAGCUUGUGGCAUGACCUCCAUCCUGUGUAGCCCAGAGCCACCCUACCCAAGCCACAAAUAGAAAAGCUCUGGGUUUUGAUGCUGACUCUCUAUGGUCCCACUUCUUAGCCUAAGAUCACCUGUGCCCUAGAGAGUUGUACCUACUUCGCCUGGUGACUGUGGACCAGCUCUGCAGGAAGCAAUUUACCAAAUGUCUCUGCGAUCCAGUGGUCAGCAAUUACACCUUCUUCAGUGUGGUCAUAGCCUCUUUCCAAAUUUGUCCUUCCUUAACUACUCUCCCUGUUUUCAUGUUUAUAGUUGUUCUCUUAUCAUUGUUUAAUAAUUUUUAUGUUAAAUUUCCCAUGUUUAAAUUACUAAGUCGAUAUUGUCUCUUGAUUGUACCCAG